ACUUUGAUUAUGGCUCGGGACGAACGCUGGCGGCGCGCCUAACACAUGCAAGUCGAGCGGGAAGCUUUUUAAGGAUUCUUCGGAUGAAUUAAAAAGUGGAGAGCGGCGGACGGGUGAGUAACGCGUGAGAAACCUGCCCUAUACAGGGGGGAUAGCCAUUGGAAACGAUGAUUAAUACCCCAUAUGACCACAGUAUCGCAUGAUACAGCGGUGAAAACUCCGGUGGUAUAGGAUGGUCUCGCGUCUGAUUAGCUAGUUGGUGGGGUAACGGCCUACCAAGGCGACGAUCAGUAGCCGGCCUGAGAGGGUGACCGGCCACACUGGAACUGAGACACGGUCCAGACUCCUACGGGAGGCAGCAGUGGGGAAUAUUGCACAAUGGGCGAAAGCCUGAUGCAGCGACGCCGCGUGAACGAUGAAGGCUUUCGAGUCGUAAAGUUCUGUUCUUGGGGAAGAUAACGACGGUACCCAAGGAGAAAGCACCGGCUAAAUACGUGCCAGCAGCCGCGGUA
rnacentral:rRNA from 1 species